rnacentral:rRNA from 1 species
AGAAAGCACCGGUUUCUCGUCCGAUCACCGAAGUUAAGCUCAGUAGGGUGCGGUUAGUACUUGGACGGGUGACCGCCUGGGAAUACCGUGUGCUGUAGGCA